rnacentral:rRNA from 1 species
GCAAGCGUUGUUCGGAAUUACUGGGCGUAAAGAGUGUGUAGGCGGUGCUCCAAGUCUGGUGUGAAAUCUCCCGGCUUAACUGGGAGGGUGCAUUAGAAACUGGAAUGCUAGAGGAUGGGAGAGGUAAGCGGAAUUCCUGGUGUAGCGGUGAAAUGCGUAGAUAUCAGGAGGAACACCUGUGGUGUAGACAGCUUACUGGACCAUUUCUGACGCUGAGACACGAAAGCGUGGGUAGCAAACAGG